rnacentral:rRNA from 1 species
GGCCUUCGGGUUGUAAAGCUCUUUUGUCAGGGAAGAAACACCGGCUCUAACACAGUCCGGGAAUGACGGUACCUGAAGAAUAAGCACCGGCUAACUACGUGCCAGCAGCCGCGGUAAUACGUAGGGUGCGAGCGUUAAUCGGAAUUACUGGGCGUAAAGCGUGCGCAGGCGGUUAUACAAGACAGGCGUGAAAUCCCCGGGCUUAACCUGGGAAUGGCGCCUGUGACUGUAUAGCUAGAGUGUGUCAGAGGGGGGUAGAAUUCCNCGUGUAGCA